rnacentral:misc_RNA from 1 species
CGCACAUUGCGCCCCUUGGUAUUCCGGGGGGCAUGCCCGUUCGAGCGUCAUUACACCACUCAAGCCUGGCUUGGUUUUGGGCGACGGGUUUAACGACCCGCGCCUCUAUUUCAUUCGGCUGGACGGUUGGAAUCUCAGCGUUGUGAAUCAAUUCGCUGCGGAGGACAACCGGGCGCGCCGUUAAACACUCCAUUCAGGUUGACCUCGGAUCGGGUAGGGAUACCCGCUGAACUUAA